GCACGUGUGAUGAUUUACUUUCUUUAGUCGGAUACCCCUUCACUCUAAAUUAUGAGUGAGAUCCCCUGUCUGACACGC
ensembl:snoRNA